GUACACGCUGUGACUAGCAUAUCAAUAAGCGGAGGAAAAGGAGUACCUACGCUUAGGAUGUUGACGAGACUGUCGAUCUCAUCUAUACAUGACUCUGUGCAUAUCAAUAAGCGGAGGAAAAGGUACCUACGCUUAGGAUGUUGACGAGACUGUCGAUCUCAUCUAUACAUGACUCUGUGCAUAUCAAUAAGCGGAGGAAAAGGCUGCGGAACUGAACGACCGCUACCUACGCUUAGGAUGUUGACGAGACUGUCGAUCUCAUCUAUACAUGACUCUGCGCAUAUCAAUAAGCGGAGGAAAAGAAACUAACAAGGAUUCCCUUAGUAACGGCGAGUGAAGCGGGAAGAGCUCAAAUUUGAAAUCUUCAAGGUUUUACCUUGACGAAUUGUAGUUUAAAGAAGUGUUUUCUGCUGAAGUUUUGGUAAAAGUUCUUUGGAAUAGGACAUCAUAGAGGGUGAGAAUCCCGUAUUUGACCAUUAUUUUCAGCUUUGUGAUACACUUUCAAAGAGUCGGAUUGUUUGGGAAUGCAGUCCAAAAUGGGUGGUAAAUUUCAUCUAAAGCUAAAUAUUGGCGAGAGACCGAUAGCGAACAAGUACCGUGAGGGAAAGAUGAAAAGAACUUUGAAAAGAGAGUUAAACAGUACGUGAAAUUGUCAAAAGGGAAGCGUUUGACACCAGUGUUGUUUUCUCGAAAAUCAAUUAAAAAUGGCUCGAUUUUGUAUUGCUGAGACCUUAAAAGCUCACUGUACAUUUUUCGUGUCUUUUUUAAUGCACUUUUCGUUUAACAAGUCAACAUCAGUUUCUUUUGUUGUAAAAGGGUCAUUGGAAGGUGGCUUUCUUUUCGGAGAAAGUGUUUAUAGCCUUUGGCCUCUGCAAUCGAAGAGACUGAGGUCUGCAGCGUAGACUCUUCGGGGUUAGAUACAUUUGUGCUAAGUUAUAGCUUUUUAUAGACAACUUGUUGACUAUAAUUAGUCUUGUAGCUUACUCGCUUAUGCUAUUUUACCUACGCUUAGGAUGUUGACUGCAUGAGAUAUACGC
rnacentral:rRNA from 1 species